GAUGAACGCUGGCGGCGUGCCUAAUACAUGCAAGUCGAGCGAACAGACGAGGAGCUUGCUCCUCUGACGUUAGCGGCGGACGGGUGAGUAACACGUGGAUAACCUACCUAUAAGACUGGGAUAACUUCGGGAAACCGGAGCUAAUACCGGAUAAUAUAUUGAACCUCAUGGUUCAAUAGUGAAAGACGGUUUUGCUUUCACUUAUAGAUGGAUCCGCGCCGCAUUAGCUAUUUGGUAAGGUAACGGCUUACCAAGGCAACGAUGCGUACCCGACUUGAGAGGGGGAUCGGCAACACUGGACCUGGGACCCGGUCCAGACUCCUCCGGGAGGAAGCAGUAGGGAAUCUUCCGCAAUGGGCGAAAGCCUGACGGAGCAACGCCGCGUGAGUGAUGAAGGUCUUCGGAUCGUAAAACUCUGUUAUUAGGGAAGAACAAAUGUGUACGUAACUAUGCACGUAUUGACGGUACCUAAUCAGAAAGCCACGGCUAACUACGCG
rnacentral:rRNA from 1 species